GAUGAACGCUGGCGGCAGGCUUAACACAUGCAAGUCGAGCGCCCCGCAAGGGGAGCGGCAGACGGGUGAGUAACGCGUGGGAACGUACCCUUUGCUACGGAAUAGCUCCGGGAAACUGGAAUUAAUACCGUAUGUGCCCUACGGGGGAAAGAUUUAUCGGCAAAGGAUCGGCCCGCGUUGGAUUAGCUAGUUGGUGGGGUAAUGGCCUACCAAGGCGACGAUCCAUAGCUGGUCUGAGAGGAUGAUCAGCCACAUUGGGACUGAGACACGGCCCAAACUCCUACGGGAGGCAGCAGUGGGGAAUAUUGGACAAUGGGCGCAAGCCUGAUCCAGCCAUGCCGCGUGAGUGAUGAAGGCCUUAGGGUUGUAAAGCUCUUUCACCGGAGAAGAUAAUGACGGUAUCCGGAGAAGAAGCCCCGGCUAACUUCGUGCCAGCAGCCGCCGUAACAC
rnacentral:rRNA from 1 species